GCCCUCUUAGCUCAGUGGUAGAGCAUCUCCAUGGUAAGGAGAAGGUCGUCAGUUCAAUCCUGACAGAGGGCUC
rnacentral:tRNA from 1 species